rnacentral:lncRNA from 1 species
CUUUUUCUUUUUAAUCCUCACUCCUGUGCUGGAGAACCUGUUGACUGAGCAGGCUUACACAUAUGGCACCUCAACGUCAGAGCUCCAGUAAGCUGGGUACAGAUUGAUAAGGAUGUCCAGACAUACCUCCAGGAGAGACCCUAAAAGAUGGAGUGAAAUUUGUGGAGAAACUGUGGUCAAGGACCACUGUAAUACAAGGAUAUGAGUUUUAAAAGCCAACUUGGGAGUGAAUCCAGUGAAUCUGCUACCUCAGCUGUCUCAGUGGAUACUUCCUGGAUCAGAUGGAAAGAAGCAAUCGCAACAACAGCAACCCAAACUGAUGACUCCGCUGAACCUUUCCAGAACGCAGACCUGCAGAAUUUUAGCAAAAUAAGUGUGUUUCCUGGCUCACCUCCAUUCUGUUGAAACAUCUAAGAUAUAUAGCUUUCCACCAGAAAUUCUGGGGUGUUUGUCUAUAAGCCCUCCAGGUAGUAGCUCUAAGACUUACCCUUGUGUGAGUAUUGCUGUUUCAAAUUGAAAGCCAUGAAUCUGAAGCAAGUCCGACAGAAGUUAUGUGUGGUCACUACAUCUGAGGUGCUUGAGAUGGGGUGGUAGAAGCUGAGAUUCCAUGUCUACAGAUUUGGGACCUUGAAAGGCAGCCUGUUUUCUGGUCGAGCUAAGCUGAAAGCCCAGAGACCCAGUAGAUUAAUCUGCAAGGGACAGAAGGAAGUUUGUCACAUGCUCCCAGACACUAGGCUCCUGACUAGCUCCAUAAUUCUGUGGCCUACAGUCACAUAGGCAGUCCAAACUCCACCCCCACAGUUACCUGGCAACAGGCAGAAUGGCCCAGCCCACUAUAAA